ACGCUGGACGACGACCAGCUGAUCUCGCACAUCCUUGCUGGCCUCGACAUUGAGUAUCAGCCGCUGGUAUCGGCGCUCGCACCAUCCCCGUCAUGCUCGAUGAGCUUUUUGCUCAGAUGAGCAACUUUGACC
rfam:Triticum aestivum genome assembly, contig: Triticum_aestivum_CS42_TGACv1_scaffold_000383_1AL